GCCGCGGCGAUAGCUCAGUGAAUAAAGCGCCGGGUGAGAAGAUGGCAAUUACUCCGAGAGCUAUUAUCCGCGCGGGUUCGAAUCCCGCCUAUGGCA
rnacentral:tRNA from 1 species